rnacentral:rRNA from 1 species
CUCGAACUGGCGACACUGCCAAAUUGCGGGGACACCCUAAAGACCUUGACACCAAGCACCAUCGGAAACGGUGGUGUGGCCGAGCUAAUUGCCCUGGGUAUGGUAAUAGUUCAAGGUAUGAGACUCCCUCCGCCAGGGGGGAAAAGAAGUCGAAAUGGGCAAUCCGCAGCCAAGUCCUACAGCCUUCCUCUUGCCGGGGAGGCCACGGACGCUGUUCACAGGCCAAAUGGUAGUGGGUGAACCUAUUAGGUUCGCUUAAGAUAUGGUCGGUCUCUGGGCGAAAGCCCAGGGGUAAGUUUCACUGAAACCCUCCACAAACGUUCCGUAGGUGAACCUGCGGAAGGAUCAUUAAUGAGUUAGGGUCUCCUAGGCCCGACCUCCCAACCCUUUGCUUACUAGACCUCAGUUGCUUCGGCAGGCCCGUCUUAAUCUGACCGCUGGAGGACCGCCUAAUGCGGGUGUUACCUCUGGCCAGUGUCUGCCGAUAGCCUAAUCUCCUAACUCUGGAUCAAUCAUGAUUUACAAUGUCUAAGUGAUUUUAUUCAAUUAAAA